UGAUAGAGAUGCUUAGUAUAAAUAGAACCUUAUCCUAAGCAUUAACAACCCUAGCAGUAAUCUCCUGUAUCAAAAAGUGUAAAGAAGAAACACUAAAAGCUUGUACUUUUCUCAGAUUAUAGUGAAGCUUGAGGGACAAGAGUUCCCUGCCCUCCCCAGAGGUAACAGUUAGAGGCCGUGAACUGGGUCAAAAGUGUUUGUGUCUUUUACAGUUUAUGCUUACUCUAAAUUGGUUUUAGCAAACGAUCAAACCCUCACAAGUGGUAUCAGAACACAUUUGGUUAAAGCUAAACCGAUCGUCGACCAGAAGAAGAAGAUCUACAGGUUAGAAGAAACUCUCACUGGUUGUUUCUUCAUUUGAGAUUUCUUGGUUUGAGGUGGAGUAAGUUUUCUGAAGAUAGUUGCUGUAACCGGGAGUAGAAAUUGUUAUCCGGAUUUGGUUCAUCAUAUCUCUUGAGCUAGUUUUCUGUUGUGUUGAGGAGGGCGUUACACAACCCCAAACUCAGGCGAGUUAAGGUUGUUCUUGUAUUUGAAUCUGGUUCCUGAAAUCAAAGGGUCAAAUACAUCAGCAUGGAACAUCCUCAAAGCAGACUGGAUGUAGAGAAAUUUGAUGGUAAAGGUGAUUUUGGAUUAUGGAAACAUAAGGUGUUAUGUCAGCUGGAGCUCAUGGGCUUAGAGUCUGUGUUGGAAGAAGGUGAGACCUCUGAGUCAGAACCAGACAAGCAAGAUGAAGGCCAGUAACCAGGAAAAGAUCCAAAGUUUGCUGAGAAGGAUAAACGGGUGAAGAAUCUUAUUAAGAUGUGUCUAAGCGAUCAGAUCUUAAGGAAGGUCAUGAAAGAGCCUACUGCUGCUGGGAUUUGGAAGGCUCUUGAGACUGACUACUAGACCAAAACUUUACCCAAUAGGAUCUAUCUGAAGCAGAGGUUUGCUAGUUUCAAGAUGGAGGAGAACAAAAGUAUUGAAGAAAACUUAGACAGUUUUCAAAAGCUUGUGGAUGAUCUUGCAAGUCUGAAUAUAAACAUAAGUGAUGAGGAUCAGGCUAUUCAACUCCUUACUAGCCUCCCACCACUGUAUGAAGCCUUGGUUCACACUCUCAAGUAUGGUAGUGGUAAAGACACACUUUCAGUAAGUGAUGUUACUACUUCAGCGUAUUCCAAAGAAGUGGUGUUAAAGGAGAAAGGUCUCCUGAACAGAACCAGAGGAAACUCAGAAGGUUUGUACGUUGAGUCUAGAGGCAGGUCUGAAAGAAGACCUGAAAAAGGAAACUACAAACCGAGGUCCAAGUCAAGGGGUAGAUCAAAGUCAAGACCGAAGUAUAAUAAGAACACUACAGGAUGUUUCUUAUGUGGUAAAGAAGGACAUUGGAAGAGGGAGUGUCCAGAUAAACAUGGAAAGAAGCCAAACAGCUUUGCAAACGUUGCGACAAAGGUGACAGAGAAGGUGAAAGAGCCGCUUGUUCUUACAGCAAGCAAGCAUGACUCCAAAGGCGCUUGGGUCAUGGACUCAGGCUGUAGCUUCCAUAUAACUCCAGAUAAAGAGUCUUUGUUUGAUCUACAAGAGCUUGAUGGAGGAAAAGUCUUGAUGGGAAAUAUGACGCACAGUGAGGUGAAGGGGAUUGGCAAGAUUAAAAUCUUAAAUCCAGAUAAUUUUGUGGUUAUUCUGACAGAGGUUCGGUAUAUGCCAACGAUGGGGAGAAAUCUAAUUUCUUAUGGACAGUUGGAAAAGAGUGGUUGCAAAUACGAGGGAAAGGAUUUUGUAGUCACUUUCUACAAAGAUGGACAGAAGGUAAUUUCUGGAAAAUACCAAGACGGAUUGUACUAUCUACAAGGGAGAGUGGUGCAAGGAGAGUCGAUGGUAGCAAGGCCAGAAACUGACAUGACCAAGAUAUGGCACUCUAGGCUCGGUCACAUGAGUCUAAAAUGCAUGAAUAUAUUGGUCAAAGAUGGGUAUCUGACAGAUAAAGAAGUGAAGACUUUGGGUUUUUGUGAGAGUUCUGUUUUGGGUAAAUCGCACAAGCUGAGCUUUACCAGGUCGAAGCACGCUACAAAAGGAGUCUUGGAAUACAUUCACUCUGACUUGUGGGGCUCUCCAUCAGUUGAGAAGAGCUUGGGGAAUUGUCAAUAUUUCAUUACCUUCAUUGACGAUUUCUCGAAGAAGGUCUGGAUCUAUUUCCUAAAAACUAAGGAUGAAGCAUUUCUUAAGUUCAAAGAAUGGAAGGCAAUGGUCGAAAAUCAGACAGGAAAGAAAGUACGUUGUUUGAGGACAGAUAACGGACUCAAGUUCUGUAACAACAUGUUUGAUAAUUUCUGCAAGGAUUCUGGUAUUAAAAGGCACAGGACGUGUACUUACACUCCACAGCAAAAUGGAGUAUCAGAACGCAUGAACAGGACCAUUAUGGACAAGGUGAGAUGCAUGCUAGCUGAGAGUGGGCUAGAAGAGAAGUUCUGGGCAGAGGCUGCCUCCACAGCCGUUUACUUGAUUAAUAGAUCACCAAACUCGUAUAUUAACUUCAAGUUGCCAGAAGAAGUAUGGUCUGGAGAAAGACCAAAGAUUAGUCAUCUAAGAAGGUUUGGAUGCUCAGCAUAUGUACAUGUCUCGCAAGGGAAAACAAGUCCUCGAGCAAUCAAAGGAUUAUUUUUGGGAUAUCCGCAAUGGACUAAAGGUUACCGGAUAUGGAUUGAAGAAGAGGAUAAAUGUGUUAUCAGCAGAGACAUCAUUUUUCAUGAAGAAGAACUGUACAAAGAUACCUUGAAGCAAAAGGAUGAAGGUGACUCGAGAAAAAUCGAUGAAACUACUCAGAAAAAGAGUAAAGGAAAAAGAGUUACCUUCAGCGAGAAUCUCAUUCAAGGACCUUCAGGUACUUUUGAAGUAGGUGAGACUUCAGAUCAAGGUGGAGCAUCAUCUGGGACAGAUUAGUCAGGAGAAAGUUCAGAUGAUCAAGGCGUGACGUCUGAGGAAGAGACUGAUAUUGAUGUUAGUCAGAAUGAGGAACCUAAUCUUGGAAACUUGGAUGAUUAUGUUUUGUCUAGGGACAGGGGACGCAGACAGACGAAGCCUCCAUCCAAAUUUGAUGACUUUGAUGUGGCUGCGUAUGCAUUGACAUGUGCAGAAGAAAUCGAUAUGGAUGAGCCAAAGUCUUAUUUUGAAGCAAACAAAAGUAAAGACUGUGAAAAGUGGAACUCAGGAAUGACAGAGGAGAUGGGUUCUCAUCAGCAAAAUGGAACAUGGGAAUUAGUAGACAAGCCAGCGAACAAAAAGGUUAUCGGCUGCAAGUGGGUUUACAAACUAAAACCGGAUAUUUCUAGAAAUUUCAGAUACAAAGCCAGGUUGGUAGCCAAGGGGUUUUCUCAAGUAGAAGGAAUAGACUUCACAGAAGUGUUCGCUCCAGUGGUGAAACAUGUUUCAAUUAGAACCAUGCUUUCUCUAGUUGCAAACUAUGAUCUUGAGCUUGAGCAGUUGGACGUAAAAACAAUCUUUUUGCACGGAACUCUCGAUGAAGAGAUCUACAUGUCACAACCUGAGGGCUUUGUUGAAAAAGGAAAAGAGGACAAGGUAUGUUUGCUGAAGAAGUCACUGUAUGGCCUAAAACAGGUACCUAGACAAUGGAACAGGAAGUUCAACAGCUUCAUGAAAGACAACAAAUUCAUCAGAAGUUUGAGUGAUCCAUGUGUCUACAUUAAAGGAGAGGGUACAUCAGACAUGGUAUAUAUGUUGUUGUAUGUAUACGAUAUGCUUGUUGCUUCAAAAGACAAGCUUGGAAUCCAGAGGUUGAAAGAAAGUUUAGCUGCUGAGUUUGAGAUGAAAGACUUAGGGGCUGCGAAUAGAAUUCUGGGAAUGGAUAUCGUGAGAGACAGGAAUAAAGGAAUUUUGAAGCUGUCACAAGGAAGAUAUCUAGAACAAGUUCUCAGGACAUUCAACAUGAGUGAAUCAAAAGCUGUUACCACACCACUAGGCUGUCAAUUCAAACUCAAGGCUCUCACAGAAGAAGAAUCAAAAGGAGAAUCAGAAUUGAUGAGUGAAGUUCCUUAUGCGAGCGCAGUGGGGAGCUUAAUGUAUGCGAUGGUUGGAUCUCGACCAGACUUAGCGCAUGCGGUGGGAGUAGUCAGCAGGUUCAUGGGAAACCCAGGAAGGAAACAUUGGGAAGCUGUGAAAUGGAUAUUCAGAUAUGUUAAAGGAACAUUGGACUUUGGGUUAACCUUCACAAAGAACACUGAGUUCAAGGUAGUGGGUUAUACAGAUGCUGAUUAUGCUAAAGACUUGGAUCACAGAAGAUCAGUCACAGUGUAUGUAUUUCAGGUUGGAGGAAAUACAGUUAGCUGGAGAUCAGGGCUCCAACACAUUGUAGCAUUAUCGACUACAGAAUCUGAAUAUAUGGCACUAACAGAGGGCUUUAAGGAAGCUUUAUGGUUAAAGCGAUUUGUCAGUGAAUUGGGUUUUCUACAGGAUGAAGCUAAGGUUUUCUCAGAUUCACAAAGUGCUAUUCACUUGGCGAAAAAUGGUGGAUUUCACGAGAGGACCAAGCAUAUUGACACUAAGCUGUAUUUCAUCAGAGAUGUUAUUGAGGCUGGGGAUGUUACUCUACACAAGAUUCAUACAUCAGCUAACCCGGCAGACUUACUAACUAAGGCGGUACCUGGAAACAAGCUCGAGAAGGGGCUUGAAUUCCUGAAGGUGAUCGCCUGAUGAAAGCUUGUGGAAACCUGUAGGGAUUCUUUGUUGAUUUGGAAUCUCGCAGGAUAAAGGAAAUGCAGAAGUGAGCAUUCUGUAUUUAAAAUCAACACAGGAAAUGCAAGAAAAGAGAAUAGUCAGGCGGACUAACUCGUUUUUGUGUGGUUUUGGAUGCACUUUAAAGUGGGUAUUCUCUAUCUCUCCCAUUAAUCUGGAAUUCUAUGUGGAACAUGGGAGAUUAUGAGUUGCAGGAGAUAAAGUAACUGAAGGGAAUUGAGACUUGUCAGAGCUUAGGAAAUUGCACCUUGAAGCUCUGUUGGAUUUUAGAUUUCUUAUUCUGAGAAGGUCAUCGUAGCUCGCGUUCAGUUAGUGACGUUCGUGUAUUGUCGCAGGAGGAACUGAAUUGAAGUUCAAACAAGCUGUUGUUGGUCGGCUUCAAGUAUCGAGAGCUGCAUAAAUGAAAAUCAGAAAUUUAUCAUAUAUCCGAUCUCAAAAGAUGUUAUCCGAAAUAGGAAGUGGCAUCUGGUUAUCUGUGCGUGCAUCAGUUGAAAGGAUAAGUAUUUGUAACAGGCGGUUGCAUCUACUUACCCUUCCAUGCAUCAGAGGAAAACAAGAAGAUUCUUACCUUACAUGUGGCUGACGGAAAGGUAAUGAUCUUGGUUGAUUGGCUUCACUAUCAAAUCUUCAGGUUUUGUGGUUCAGAUGGUGAUAAUGAACAGAGGAAUCACCUGGAAAGUCAUGAGCUUAAAUCUGAGAAAGAUUGCUAUGACAUAUCACUGACACAAGGUAAAGAAGAAAGGAUCUCACCGGCGUUACAUGCAAGGAUGGCUACACAAUUUUUGAGAGACAUCAGAUAUGCAACAGAGACAAGAGGAAGCUCAGGAGCUGAACGUCGCGGUGGAGUGAGAUCAAGGAAUCUGAGAAACCGAGGAACAAAAGCAAACGUCGGUUGGUGAUUAGGUCAAAGGUGGAGAAUGUGAAUGUUGACUCUAAUCACGUACAAGCAAG
rnacentral:lncRNA from 1 species